UACGUAGGGGGCUAGCGUUGUCCGGAUUUAUUGGGCGUAAAGAGCGUGUAGGCGGCCAUGUAGGUCCGGUGUGAAAACUCGAGGCUUAACCUCGAGAUGUCAUCGGAAACCGUAUGGCUAGAGUCCGGAAGAGGAGAGUGGAAUUCCUGGUGUAGCGGUGAAAUGCGCAGAUAUCAGGAAGAACACCAAUGGCGAAGGCAGCUCUCUGGGACGGCACUGACGCUGAGACGCGAAAGCGUGGGGAGCGAACAGG
rnacentral:rRNA from 1 species